CAAGGGUCAUCAUAAAUGGCAUUUUGGUAAAACUAAGAUUAGAUUUCCAAAAUUUGAAACGUAGAAACGUAGACAUUUUGUGAAACCCUAGCCAUAUUCCUAUACCUCACCCUCCCUCUGUCUCCCUCUCUCGACUCUUUCUCUUCGAUCGCUCUCCUAGCUCCACCGAUUGGCGUGACGAGCCACCACCGAACGGCACACGAUCAAGAACAACAUCACCUUCCUCGACACCUCCGAUUGUUACGGUCCAGACACCAACGAAGUACUCCUCGCUCUUAUUUUUCCGACUGCCUCAUCUACCACCAUGUAUUCAGGUAAGCCAAAAUCUUCCCAAACUGGAAAGAGCAAAUCCACCAUCGCAUUAUUUUCGAGUUCAAUUGAUCUAAGGUAAA